UACAGAGGGGGCAAGCGUUGUUCGGAAUUACUGGGCGUAAAGGGCGCGUAGGCGGCCCGCUAAGUCGAACGUGAAAUCCCCGAGCUCAACUCGGGAACUGCGUCCGAUACUGGUGGGCUUGAAUCCGGGAGAGGGAUGCGGAAUUCCAGGUGUAGCGGUGAAAUGCGUAGAUAUCUGGAGGAACACCGGUGGCGAAGGCGGCAUCCUGGACCGGCAUUGACGCUGAGUGAGCGAAAGCCAGGGGAGCAAACGGG
rnacentral:rRNA from 1 species